AGAAGGUUUAUUACGCGGCAUUUGUAUCUCCGAUGAAAACGCCUCGAAUUAUAAAACCCCUCGAAUUAUAAAACCCGACAUUUCGUCGACGCGGUACUGCACGGUGUACCCGGCGCCACCCAAGUCCAACUUGGAGAACUGUAACGACCGCGCGUCCAGAGAGAAACAAAACCGGCGACCACGAUGACCAGUUCGGCUACCGUCCCUUAAGAGGCACGAAAAAAGAUUCCCCCGUGGUUUGUGAAGACGGGGGCAGCGCAAAUCCAGUCGGUUUAUUUUUUUAACCCCAAACCAAGUUUUUUUUUGUUUUAGCCUUGCGUGAGAACGUCUAACCUCUGUUAUUGGACCUGGCGGAGGCUUGGCUGGUAGAAAGACCCGAGCUCGGCGGCUCUCGUUAAGGGCAGGGCGGGCCGCGCGAGUCCCGGGCUGGACCGACACCACUGCCGGUCUUUGACAGAGCCGAUUGGUGUUUUCUCGCUUUAAUAUGCGGCUUUAAAGGACAUGAACGGAUCCCACCAGUCCAUUUUCUAUCCGCUCCCCCCCCCCGACUCCGCACGGGCAGCACCCCGGCGCUGCGAGACAGGGCGCCGCCGGCGCGCCCGUGUUACAGCUCCCAGGGUAGAAAAAUCCCGAGCUUCAGGCCUGCCGGAUGAAGUUGAGCGACUCUCUCAAACGAACCCCUCUAGACACCAGCAGCCCCCAGGUGGAUAGUCUUCUGGACAUUUAAAAAGAGUAAAAUUCAGGGGUGAUUUCAAUCACGUGCCCCCUGAUCCUGUUGCCCCGAUUGUUUUCAUCAGGAGAAAUCCCGAUUGAUGUUAUGUAUGUUCAGACAUUGUUUCAGUUUUUUCAUGCACUACAAGCAAUGUGAUGAGUAGUCAGUGGGAUUUUAACAUUGCUUAGAGAGAUGGCUCACAGCCCUGUGCCCAAACACACAGAGAAAGGAGACAAUUCACAGCCCUGUGCCCAAACACACAGAGAAAGGAGACAAAUCACAGCCCUGUGCCCAAACACACAGAGAAAGGAGACACAUCACAGCCCUGUGCCCAAACACACAGAGAAAGGAGACAAAUCACCAAUAUGUGCCUAUACAGUAAAUACACGGAGAGAAAGGAGACGCAUAUCAGAGAUGUGUUCCCAUAGCAAUGAGAGAAUGGAAAUGCAUCACAAGCAUGUGUCCAAACAGAGAUUCAUGCCAGCACACAGCCAAUAGCACAGCUAUUCCCUGAACUGGGACCCUCCAACUAACUGCACUGUAUUCCUGAGCCCCUGGGACCCUCCACCCCCUAAUCCACUGCAGGAGGGGUUGGACUUUAAGGGAGAUGUGCUCUCAAAGUGCAAAUCCCUGCUCCGCAGUUUCAGAGCCGGGACAGCGAAAGGGACAAAAGCAAGUGGUCGGGCUCGGAGGGACUCUUUCACCGGGCAGCUCCAGCCCCAUCAUCCACUUGUGCGCUGAUCGAUAGUGGACAAUCCCCUCUUUCGGAAAGCUGCCCACCGCAAUGUUAGCCUGAGCGAUUGUGGGCACCCCGACUCCUCAGGAAGGCUGGCUCUGUGCUGGGGCUGAGCCUUGACCCCCCUGGAGGUGGUGGCCGUCAUGAACCACGCCUCUCCUCCGCUUCAUGGGACUGUUACUGGGCAGCGGAGCACUUUGAGCAACAGGCUGCUCCAGCUCCGGUAUUCAAGGGAACGUUUCCGCAGAGUCGCCUCUUGUUGAGCAGACUGGAGCGGAUUCUCCGACGGCUCAAGACGGACCCUGUCAUUCAAUAAUUCGCCGAUGAGUUUGCGGACCGGGGGUGUCGCCAACAGGAAGAUUUGGGAGCGGGGGGGCAAUUUAUCCGGGAGAUUAUGGAACUUCCUGGAGGUCUGGUGUCAGAAAUACGGACGAAGUCAACGUGUCGGCGCCUGGAGCACCGCGGCGUGAAACCACAGCAGGAGAGCGACGCUCUAGAACAGGUGUCCCCGUUCUAGAACAGGGACAGCGAUUCUAGAACUGAUCUUCCCACAGGACAGGGGCAUAUCGGUUCUAGAACAGAGAGCUACAGCACCUGCGGCAUCGCUUUGUAGGACAGCGGUGUCUGCUCAGAGCCCAUGUUGUCCGAUAAACCGCCGUUACGCCAUUAACGUGCUCGUUAUGUGCUGUCAUUAACACGGCCACACGCGCUCGUCUCGGGCUGCUUAUCUUCCUAAUUUGAACUUUUUUCUAAAACAAAAACGCCAAAGGUGUAACGUUUGUACAAGAUAUGCCUUCUACCGCGUCUUGAACGGCUUACCCAAGUAUUAAAAAAGAAUUACGCUUAAUAAAUACCGAGCUGUAUUUCGGAAAACAGCGCACAAGCCCAGCAGCGUGUGUGUUGGACUGUGGGAAGAAACACAGGAGAACUCGAGGGGAGCAGACAGACUCCACACAGACAGCACCCCAGGAAACGGAUCCCAGCUCCGCCACUGCGCCACCGGGCGGCCGGACAGCGACACCAACAGGGUGAGGACACGCGUUUCGGUCUCGACGAUGUCAAACGCUUUGGCAAAAGGUGACUUUGUUUUUCUUCCCCAGGAAUCUCCGCUACCUCCCUCAAUAGUUUUAACGCCUCUUCAGGCAGAACUAGGGACUGCGGGUCGGUGACGUGGCCGGGAGAGAAGGGGAACUGAGAACUGGGUCCACAGUAGCGCACGGCGUGACUUCGUCAGGGAACGCAGAAGGGGGCUGCGACGGGGAGGGAGAGGAUGAUUAAUGCCGUGUGUCAGCCCGCAUGAGCGCCGGCGCGGCCGAGGGAGCCGGGGAGCCCAGCCGGCACACCGCUGCCCCCAGCUGGCUGACGGAGGAACUGCAGAGCGCCGCGCACGCCGGACCGCAAACCACGACCUAGAGGCGAUCUCCACUGUGCACACCUGUGCUCGCCUCGGAACUAAUACCGGCCUGCCGCCUCAACCCUUUGCUGCUUCAAGAUAAUGUAUCUUUCUCACGGAGAAAGCAGAAGCUGAUUCCACUCUGAAAAGUAAAAAGGUAGAUAAAAACGUCUGAAAGUCUGAAAACCCGGCACAGCAGAACGCCGGAACGCGGAUAAUGAUAGAUUUCAGGAUUUUCUUAAACUGUUCUAUUUGCAGGCAGUUCUGUAUUGUUUUCUUAAAUACAAUAGCAACACUUCUAGGGACAUGAACUACCACAUUGUUCGCUAUGUAUUAUAAAGUUAUGAAGUUUAUUAUAUUAUAAAGUAUUUUAAAUCACUCCCCCUGGAGAAUAGCUAUCCAUUUUCCUGAACAUGUUUCGCUGCCAGGUUACUGUGAAACGUGUUUGUGGAGUGAAUGGUUUACGGUUGGAGAUAUUUCUGAUAUGAGAAUACAAUUAAGUGUCAUUAUUAUCUUUUCAUUGCGUGAUUUCUUAGCAUUGUAAGUACUUAGCAUUUUCCUUCAAGAAAACAGUGUAGAAAUAAAAUAGGAUUAUAGAACAGUAUAGUAUAAACAUGGACAGGAAGUGUGAGCAUUUUAAAAUACCAAAACCUCUUCGGUUUUUGCCGGCGUGUUUAACUUUCUGCAGUUUGCUUUUUGUUGCUUUAGCCUUCGGAUUCUGGAAUAAAAAUAAAUUCGCGUAAAGUAAAUCUAACUCCCAGCUAAUGUGCUUUCUCCCUUAGGCCUGUGGGUUUAGCUAUUUACACAAGACGCUUGUACUUGGUAGCAUACAAAGCAACAUCGCAUGCUAACAACGCACAAUUCGCCGGAUAGCAGUGUUAUAGUUUAUGCUUUGUGUUUUGUUCGGGCUCCACGUUUGUACGGUUGUGUGGGCGUAGGUAAUGUUAAUAAUAACGUAAAAAGGGCCAAAAUCGAGAUUGUGUUGAAUAUAGGACAAUUAACCGGCGUCCCCCAAUUUUCACCCCCCUGUCCGCAAGAGAAAUUAAAUCGGAUUCGUUCGCCUGUACUGAGGCGGGUUGUCUUAACUGUCUGUGAUUGCGUAUAGAAACACCACCGCCUCAGCUACUCAUACUCCACGUCAUCGACGCAUGUGCGCUCUCUGCUGCCCCCCAGUGGACACAAGCCCGAAUGUCAGUGAAGUCAUGCGCUUGCCUCCGAAGCGUAACACGCAACAGUCAAAACAGGAGAGCACAAACAAACAAACAGCACAAAAAGCCCACACAACACAAACAAAAAUCAGCACACGAACGAAAAAGAGCGCCCACAGAAAAACGUGUUCAGAGCGGAAAUGGGGGCUCGCAGCGGACAUGUCGUGUGCUGUAAGGAGACGGGGAGGUUACAGGCCGGCGUGAGGUGAAGGUUA